CAAGAAUAGAAAGAGACUUAAUGAUUGUGGUACUUGACUGCUAUUUCCUCUCCAGAAUUAUCUCAACUGUGCAUAGGUUUACUGCUACACUGCCUCUUAGAUAUACUAGGACCUAAGCAAAAUAAAAGGUCUUAUGAUCUAUCAACUUCUUUGAGGAACUCCAACUACUUCUUCUGUCCAUGAAUCAUCUAAAUUGUAUAUAGAAGUUCUGCUCCAAAAGGAACACCUCCUAUUUUAUGAUGUUGGCCCACGACGUCAGAGAAAGAUGUUGGUGGUAUUGGCAGUAGAGGCUGAACCUUCCCACCAAUGUUGCAUUACAUUUUGUUGCUGUGUGACGGAUGGCAGCAGUGGGGCAGUCUGACAAAUGGCGUCUGACAUGGAAGUGUGUAUGGAGCAAAGGUGUGAAACUGAACUUCUCCAUGCAGAAAAAAAUGGAACUCACUGACAUUCAUCGACACUUGCUGAACAUUUAUGGAGACCACACAGUGGAUGCAAGCACAGUGAGGUGGUGGAUGGUGCAUUUCAGCAGUGGCAACGUGAGAUGCCUUCUGCCUUCUUCCCACUCAUGUGGCUGCAGGCCCUCUGGAACAGAGCUCCAGACCAGAUGCAGCCUAUGGGCCACAGAUUCCCACCCUGACCAAAAAGGGAAGCUUUCUCCUGGAAGGAUGAUGGCAGAGGAGAAAAUGCA
ensembl:lncRNA